CAAUGGAAGUCAACUUCCGUCUUUUUGAGAUUAGAAAGUAAAAGGUAGAAAAUUCAAAGCAAAAGCACCACAAUGUAAAUUUUCCAUGAGUUGGAAGAGUUAGCAAGAAGAUGUAUCACAUACAAGUAGAUUACAGCAAGAGAGGUCUUCAAUUUUAUGACAAUUGGAAAAACAAACCAAUAAAAUCAUAUAGUAGAGCAUAAAGUUCCUAUAUAUCUUCCGAAAUAGCUUCAUCAUACUGACAACUUUUAUCGUCCAAGCUGAAACU
rnacentral:lncRNA from 1 species